rnacentral:rRNA from 1 species
CCCUUAGAUGUUCUGGGCCGCACGCGCGCUACACUGAUGCAUUCAACGAGUCUAAAACCUGCUCUGAUAGGGGUGGGUAAUCUUUUGAAUGUGCAUCGUGAUUGGGAUAGAUGAUUGCAAUUUUUCAUCUUCAACGAGGAAUGCCUAGUAAACGCAAGUCAUCAGCUUGCAUUGAUUACGUCCCUGCCCUUUGUACACACCGCCCGUCGCUCCUACCGAUUGAAUGAUCCGAUGAAUAUCAUGGAUUGAGGAUGCAAGCAGGUUCGCCUGUCUUCAUCUUCGAGAAGUGAAGUAAAUCCUAUCAUUUAGAGGAAGGAGAAGUCGUAACA